rnacentral:lncRNA from 1 species
CCCAGCUGCACGGCCGGCGGCCGCGUAGGGUUGGGUGCUGGCGGUUAGCCUCGUCCGGAUUCGAUUUUUUCGGUGACAAGGGUCUGAACGGAGCCCCGGGUCCUCCUUGGCGUAUCUCCUCGCCUUACUAGGUACUGCAGAACCAGGGAAAAUAGUACCAAUGAAUGCGAGCAACCUUGUGUUUUCCUGAUCUUAAAGAGAAUACAUCUAAAUUUUUUCCAUUAAGUAAAAAGUUUGCUCCUGGAAAGCAGAUAUGAUAACUGAACUUUCAAGCAGCCACUUGGUGAUUUUAAGGGUGGAAGCUUCAUGCUAAGAAUGGUGGAGAAGAAAGCCUGGCUCCUCUGUGGCUUUGUGGAGCAGCUUUAUUAGCCUUUGACUGCCUGUUUCCCUGGACUUCCAUUAGGUGGGAAAUGAGCCCUUAUAUGUCGCUAUGGAUGUGCCUCUGUUUCGAGCAGCAACUGAACAUAAUUCCUAGCUGGUCCAGGUGUCUUGUUAUUCAGGCCCGCGAGCUCUUAUUCCUGGAGGUAUCAGGUACCUGGUCCCAUCUUGUGUACUGCAGGAGGGCCACAGCCCUGCCCUGGUUUUUAUUCUUCCUGGUGAGUUCCAGCUGAGGGGUAGGGAAGGGAGGAAAUGGGGAUGAGCCUCCGGGGCAGAAGGUCCCUGGCUAUUGACCACUCCCUUUUCUUGCCGCUUCUUUGGGCAACUCUUCAGAGACUCUCUGCAUCUUUAAAAGAACCAGCACCAGAGGAAGACGAUUUCCUUACACUGUAACACAGUCAUCCCCCCUUACCCAUGGGGAUACGGUCCAAGACCCUGCAGUGGAUGCCUGAAACCAGGAUAGUCCCGAACCCAGAAAUACUAUGUUUUUUCC